AGUUCGAUCUGGCUCAGAUUGAACGCUGGCGGGAUGCUUACACAUGCAAGUCGAACGGCCUUUGGACUUCGGUCUGGUGGCAGUGGCGAACGGGUGAGUAAUGUAUCGGAACGUGCCUAAUGGCGGGGGAUAACUACGCGAAAGCGUAGCUAAUACCGCAUACGCCCUUCGAGAAAAGCAGGGGACACUUCAGACUCGCACUAUUAGAGCAGCCGAUAUCGGAUUAGCUAGUUGGUGGGGUAACGGCUCACCAAGGCGACGAUCCGUAGCUGGUUUGAGUGGACGACCAGCCGCAGGACUGAGACCUGGCAGACUCCUGCGGGAGGCAGCAGUGGGGAAUUUUUGGACAGCCAGAAACCUGAUCCAGCCAUCCCGCGUGUGCGAUGAAGGCCUUCGGGUUGUAAAGCACUUUUGGCAGGAAAGAAACGGCACGGGAUAAUACCCCAUUCUCACCUUCAAUGAUAUAACCCAGAAUAGCACCGGCUAACUCGUGCUAGCAGCCCGGUAAUAUGUAGGGUGCAAGCGUUAAUCGGAAUUACUGGGCGUAAAACUGAUGAGCGGUUCGGAAGAAGAUGUGAAAUCCGGAGGCUUAACUGAACUGCAUUUUUUGCUAGGGCUACGAGGAGUGUGUCAGAGGAGGUGGAAUUCCGCGUGUAGCAGUGAAAUGCGUAGAUAUGCGGAGAAGACACCGAUGGCGAAGGCGGCGCAGGAUAACGCUGACGCUCAUGCACAGCGUGGGGGCAAACGGGAUUAGAUACCCUGGUGAUGCGCCUCGACGAUCAACUAGCUGUUGAGGCCUUCAGGUAUGGCUAGCGCAACUAACGCGUGAAGUUGACUUCUUAUAGAGAUACGAUAGAUUAAAACUCGAAAGAUUGACGGGGACCCGCAGCGGAUGGAUGAUGGAUCAAUUGAUGCAACACGAAAAACCUUACCUACCCUUGACAUGUCUGGAAUCCAAGGGUGGGAUGCUCUAGAGGAACCGGAACACAGGUGCUGCAUGGCUGUCGUCGCUCGUGUCGUGAGAUGUUGGGUUUAAGUCCCGCAACGAGCGCAACCCUUGUCAUUAGUUGCUACGAAGAGCACUCUAAUGAAGACUAUAAAACAAACAAACCGGAAGGAAAGAUGGGAUAGCGUCGAUCUCAUAUUUGCUGGGUGAGACUUCACACGUCAUACAAUGGUGGGACAGAGGGUCGCCAACCCGCGAGAGGCCAAUCCCAGAAACCCGAUCGUAGUCCGGUCGCAGUCUGCAACUCGACUGCGUGAAGUGGAAUCGCUAGUAAUCGGAUCAGCAUAUAUCGCGGUCGUUCCCGGUCGUACUUACACCGCCCGUCACACCAUGGGAGUGGGUUUACCAGAAGUAGUUAGCCUAAACUGCCAUGGAGGGCGAUUACCACAGGCCAAAAGGAUUCAUGACUGGGGUGAAGUCAUCAAACAAGGUAA
rnacentral:rRNA from 1 species